rnacentral:rRNA from 1 species
GACGAACGCUGGCGGCGUGCUUAACACAUGCAAGUCGAACGGAAAGGCCCUGCUUUUGUGGGGUGCUCGAGUGGCGAACGGGUGAGUAACACGUGAGUAACCUGCCCUUGACUUUGGGAUAACUUCAGGAAACUGGGGCUAAUACCGGAUAGGAGCUCCUGCUGCAUGGUGGGGGUUGGAAAGUUUCGGCGGUUGGGGAUGGACUCGCGGCUUAUCAGCUUGUUGGUGGGGUAGUGCUUACCAAGGCUUUGACGGGUAGCCGGCCUGAGAGGGUGACCGGCCACAUUGGGACUGAGAUACGGCCCAGACUCCUACGGGAGGCAGCAGUGGGGAAUAUUGCACAAUGGGCGGAAGCCUGAUGCAGCAACGCCGCGUGCGGGAUGACGGCCUUCGGGUUGUAAACCGCUUUCGCCUGUGACGAAGCGUGAGUGACGGUAAUGGGUAAAGAAGCACCGGCUAACUACGU